GACGAACGCUGGCGGCGUGCUUAACACAUGCAAGUCGAACGGUAAGGCCCUUCGGGGUACACGAGUGGCGAACGGGUGAGUAACACGUGGGUGACCUGCCCUGCACUUCGGGAUAAGACUGGGAAACUGGGUCUAAUACCGGAUAGGACCACUGCCUGCAUGGGUGGUGGUGGAAAGCUUUUGCGGUGUGUGAUGGGCCCGCGGCCUAUCAGCUUGUUGGUGGGGUGAUGGCCUACCAAGGCGACGACGGGUAGCCGGCCUGAGAGGGUGACCGGCCACACUGGGACUGAGAUACGGCCCAGACUCCUACGGGAGGCAGCAGUGGGGAAUAUUGCACAAUGGGCGCAAGCCUGAUGCAGCGACGCCGCGUGAGGGAUGACGGCCUUCGGGUUGUAAACCUCUUUCAGCACCGACGAAGCGCAAGUGACGGUAGGUGCAGAAGAAGGACCGGCCAACUACGUGCCAGCAGCCGCAGUAA
rnacentral:rRNA from 1 species